UGAGUACGAGAUGCUACGGCAUCGAAGCAGUCUAUGUCAUACUUCCAAGAAAAGCUUGCAAUGUCAUAAACAAAUAAUGCCUGUACCAUAACCGACACAGGUGGGUAGGUAGAGUAUACUAAGGGGCGCGAGAUAACUCUCUCUAAGGAACUCGGCAAAAUGACUCCGUAACUUCGGGAGAAGGAGUGCCUUAUUUUUAUAAGGUUGCAAUAACAAGAUCCAAGCAACUGUUUACCAAAAACACAGGUCUCCGCUAAGUCGUAAGACGAUGUAUGGGGGCUGACGCCUGCCCAGUGCCAGAAGGUUAAAGAAGUUGGUUAGCAUUAGCGAAGCUGAUAACUGAAGCCCUGGUGAACGGCGGCCGUAACGAUAACGGUCCUAAGGUAGCGAAAUUCCUUGUCGGGUAAGUUCCGACCCGCACGAAAGGCGUAAUGAUUUGGAUACUGUCUCGGAGAGGGGCUCGGUGAAAUAGACUUGUCUGUGAAGAUGCGGACUACCUGCACCUGGACAGAAAGACCCUAUGAAGCUUUACUGUAACUUGAGAUUGAAAUUGGACUUUAUCUGCGCAGUAUAGGUGGGAGACGUUGAAAAUAUUCUUGCGGGAAUAUUGGAGUCAUCAGUGAGAUACCACUCUUAUAAUGUUAGAUUUCUAACUUUGUAUCAUUAUCUGGUCAAAGAACAGUUUCAGGCGGGCAGUUUGACUGGGGCGGUCGCCUCCCAAACGGUAACGGAGGCGCACAAAGGUUUCCUCUGAACGUGUAGAAAUCGUAUCUAGAGUGUAAAGGCAUAAGGAAGCUUGACUGUGAGACCUACAAGUCGAGCAGGGACGAAAGUCGGUCUUAGUGAUCUGACGGUGCUGAGUGGAAAGGCCGUCACUCAACGGAUAAAAGUUACUCUAGGAUAACAGGCUGAUCUCCCCCAAGAGUUCACAUCGACGGGGAGGUUUGGCACCUCGAUGUCGGCUCAUCGCAUCCUGGGGCGGUAGUACGUCCCAAGGGUUGGGCUGUUCGCCCAUGAAAGCGGUACGCGAGCUGGGUUCAGAACGUCGUGAGACAGUUCGGUCCAUAUCCGGUGUAGGCGUUAGAAUAUUGAGAGGAGCCUUCUUUAGUACGAGAGGACCGAGAAGGACAUACCUCUGGUGUACCAGUUAUCGUGCCAACGGUAAACGCUGGGUAGCCAUGUAUGGAGAGGAUAACCGCUGAAAGCAUCUAAGUGGGAAGCCCACCUCAAGAUAAGUAUUCUC
rnacentral:rRNA from 1 species